rnacentral:rRNA from 1 species
CUAAGAAUCUUCCGCAAUGGGCGAAAGCCUGACGGAGCGACGCCGCGUGGACGAUGAAGGCCGAAAGGUUGUAAAGUCCUUUUCUCUGUGAAGAAUAAGUGGGGGAGGAAAUGCCCCUAUGAUGACGUUAGCAGAGGAAUAAGCCCCGGCUAAUUACGUGCCAGCAGCCGCGGUAAUACGUAAGGGGCGAGCGUUGUUCGGAAUUAUUGGGUGUAAAGGGUGCGUAGGCGGUUUGACAAGUCUGGUGUUGAAGGCAACGGCUUAACCGUUGUUUGGCGCUGGAAACUGUUGGACUUGAGUUUAGGAGGGGGAGCUGGAAUUCCAGGUGUAGGGGUGAAAUCUGUAGAUAUCUGGAAGAACACCGGUGGCGAAGGCGAGCUCCUGGCCAUAGACUGACGCU